rnacentral:rRNA from 1 species
GACGAACGCUGGCGGCGUGCUUAACACAUGCAAGUCGAACGGAAAGGCCCUGCUUUUGUGGGGUGCUCGAGUGGCGAACGGGUGAGUAACACGUGAGUAACCUGCCCUUGACUUUGGGAUAACUUCAGGAAACUGGGGCUAAUACCGGAUAGGAGCUCCUGCUGCAUGGUGGGGGUUGGAAAGUUUCGGCGGUUGGGGAUGGACUCGCGGCUUAUCAGCUUGUUGGUGGGGUAGUGGCCUACCAAGGCUUUGACGGGUAGCCGGCCUGAGAGGGUGACCGGCCACAUUGGGACUGAGAUACGGCCCAGACUCCUACGGGAGGCAGCAGUGGGGAAUAUUGCACAAUGGGCGGAAGCCUGAUGCAGCAACGCCGCGUGCGGGAUGACGGCCUUCGGGUUGUAAACCGCUUUCGCCUGUGACGAAGCGUGAGUGACGGUAAUGGGUAAAGAAGCACCGGCUAACUACGUA